rnacentral:rRNA from 1 species
GUGGGGAAUAUUGCACAAUGGGGGAAACCCUGAUGCAGCGACGCCGCGUGAGCGAAGAAGUAUUUCGGUAUGUAAAGCUCUAUCAGCAGGGAAGAAAAAAUGACGGUACCUGACUAAGAAGCCCCGGCUAACUACGUGCCAGCAGCCGCGGUAAUACGUAGGGGGCAAGCGUUAUCCGGAUUUACUGGGUGUAAAGGGAGCGCAGGCGGUGCGGCAAGUCUGAUGUGAAAGCCCGGGGCUCAACCCCGGGACUGCAUUGGAAACUGUCGUACUUGGGUAUCGGAGCGGUAGGUGGAAUUCCUAAUGUAGCGGUGAAAUGCGUAGAUAUUAGGAGGAACACCAGUGGCGAAGGCGGCUUACUGGACGAUAACUGACGCUGAGGCUCGAAAGCGUGGGGAGCAAACAGGAUUAGAAACCCCAGUAGUCC